ACGAACGCUGGCGGCAUGCCUCACACAUGCAAGUCGAACGAGACCUUCGGGUCUAGUGGCGCACGGGUGCGUAACGCGUGGGAACCUGCCUUUAGGUUCGGAAUAACUCAGAGAAAUUUGAGCUAAUACCGGAUGAUGUCUUCGGACCAAAGAUUUAUCGCCUUUAGAUGGGCCCGCGUUGGAUUAGCUAGUUGGUGGGGUAAAGGCCUACCAAGGCGACGAUCCAUAGCUGGUCUGAGAGGAUGAUCAGCCACACUGGGACUGAGACACGGCCCAGACUCCUACGGGAGGCAGCAGUGGGGAAUAUUGGACAAUGGGCGAAAGCCUGAUCCAGCAAUGCCGCGUGAGUGAUGAAGGCCUUAGGGUUGUAAAGCUCUUUUACCCGAGAUGAUAAUGACAGUAUCGGGAGAAUAAGCGCCGGCUAACUCCGUG
rnacentral:rRNA from 1 species